AAGCUCGUAGUUGAAUUUCGAGAUCAAUUUGUUGGUCGUGCCUCGGUACGUACUGGCAAUUUUGAUUUCUCCCUUCUGAAGAACCAUGAUGUCAUUAAUUUGGUGUCAUGGGGAAUCAGGACCGUUACUUUGAAAAAAUUAGAGUGUUUAAAGCAGGCUCGCGCUUGAAUACAUUAGCAUGGAAUAAUGAAAUAGGACGUUUGAUUCUAUUUUGUUGGUUUCUAGGAUCGACGUAAUGAUUAAUAGGGAUAGUUGGG
rnacentral:rRNA from 1 species